rnacentral:rRNA from 1 species
AACGAACGCUGGCGGCGGGCUUAACACAUGCAGGUCGAGCGCCCCGCAAGGGGAGCGGCAGACGGGUGAGUAACGCGUGGGAAUCUACCCAUCUCUACGGAAUAACGCAUGGAAACGUGUGCUAAUACCGUAUACGUCCUUCGGGAGAAAGAUUUAUCGGAGAUGGAUGAGCCCGCGUUGGAUUAGCUAGUUGGUGGGGUAAAGGCCUACCAAGGCGACGAUCCAUAGCUGGUCUGAGAGGAUGAUCAGCCACACUGGGACUGAGACACGGCCCAGACUCCUACGGGAGGCAGCAGUGGGGAAUAUUGGACAAUGGGCGCAAGCCUGAUCCAGCCAUGCCGCGUGAGUGAUGAAGGCCCUAGGGUUGUAAAGCUCUUUCACCGGUGAAGAUAAUGACGGUAACCGGAGAAGAAGCCCCGGCUAACUUCGUGCCAGCCGCCGCGGUAAGAC